rnacentral:rRNA from 1 species
UACGAAGGGGGCUAGCGUUGCUCGGAAUCACUGGGCGUAAAGCGCACGUAGGCGGCUUUUUAAGUCAGGGGUGAAAUCCUGGAGCUCAACUCCAGAACUGCCUUUGAUACUGAGAAGCUUGAGUCCGGGAGAGGUGAGUGGAACUGCGAGUGUAGAGGUGAAAUUCGUAGAUAUUCGCAAGAACACCGGUGGCGAAGGCGGCAUCCUGGACCGACACUGACGCUGAGGCGCGAAAGCUAGGGUAGCAAACGGG